CACUCCUGUAGGAAACUCUGAAUCAUCUGUGGUGGUGGUGUAAAUUAGGAGUGACUCCAGAAAUCAAAGCAUCACCUUUCUGUGUGUGUCCUGCAUGGGGAAGGCACAGCAUGUGCUGGAGGGGGGCUGGUCUGCUGCCCAUGCUGCUUGCUCUUGCUGCAAAAUGAACCAUUGUGCAAAGAUGGCUUUGCCUUUGAUGGGGGAAGGGAAAAUCCAGGACUGGACAAAACUGAAAGCAAGGUGAUCUCAGCUUUACAGCUCAUAACUGGAGUGGCUGGGUUUCCUCCACAAAAAAUGCAAAAGUUUAAUGACAUUGAAACAGCUGAAAGGUAAAGCAAAGUAAAG
rnacentral:lncRNA from 12 species